GAUGAAGAACGUAGCGAAAUGCGAUAAGUAAUGUGAAUUGCAGAAUUCAGUGAAUCAUCGAAUCUUUGAACGCAUCUUGCGCUCCUUGGUAUUCCUUGGAGCAUGCCUGUUUGAGUAUCAUGAGCAAAUCUCAAAGUCAAUUCCUUUUGUUAAUUCAAUUUGGUUUUGCUUUGGACUUGGAGGUCUUGCAGAUUUCACAGUCUGCUCCUCUUAAAUGCAUUAGCUGGAUCUCAGUAAUUAUGCUUGGUUCCACUCGGCGUGAUAAGUAUCACUCGCUGAGGACACUGUUAAAAAGGUGGCCAGGAAAAUACUGAUUGAACCGCUUCUAACGGUCUAUUAAGUUAGACAAUUACCCUUAAGUUUGAUCUCAAAUCAGGUAGGACUACCCGCUGAACUUAAGCAUAUCAUAAGCGGAGGA
rnacentral:misc_RNA from 1 species